CGCCCUCAGCGCCCCCGCGCCCCACGGCAGCCUCCGGGUUAGCCCCUUGCUGCGCGCCCGGGAAGCCGCCGCGGCCCGCGUGGGUGCGGGGCCCUCUGCUGCUGCGCCCCGCAGGCCCUCCCCUCCCUACAGCCCGUUGUGACCACUGAAAGAGAAGAAGAGUGAGAUUCCCACACAAGUGGAGGAAAACAAAUGAAACGGGGGAGGGCUUCAAGAGAAAUAUGAAGAAAGAAAAACCAGAAAGUAUAAAAUAAACUGAUUUUACAAAUACUGCUACCAAUACUGCAAAUAAAUUGAGAUGAAAGUUAAUGGACAAA